rnacentral:rRNA from 1 species
GCGGUAAUACUCCUACGGGAGGCAGCAGUGGGGAAUAUUGCACAAUGGGCGCAAGCCUGAUGCAGCCAUGCCGCGUGUAUGAAGAAGGCCUUCGGGUUGUAAAGUACUUUCAGCCGGGAGGAAGGAGAUUCCGUUAGUAGCCAGCAGCCGCGGUAUCUGGCG